GCGGAGGAAAAGAAACCAACAGGGAUUGCCCUAGUAACGGCGAGUGAAGCGGCAACAGCUCAAAUUUGAAAUCUGGCUCCUUUGGGAGUCCGAGUUGUAAUUUGCAGAGGGUGCUUUGGCAUAGGCGGCGGUCUAAGUUCCUUGGAACAGGACAUCGCAGAGGGUGAGAAUCCCGUACGUGGGCGCCUGCCUUUGCCGUGUAAAGCCCCUUCGACGAGUCGAGUUGUUUGGGAAUGCAGCUCUAAAUGGGAGGUAAAUUUCUUCUAAAGCUAAAUACCGGCCAGAGACCGAUAGCGCACAAGUAGAGUGAUCGAAAGAUGAAAAGUACUUUGGAAAGAGAGUCAAAAAGCACGUGAAAUUGUUGAAAGGGAAGCGCUUGCAGCCAGACUUGCCCGCAGUUGCUCACCUAGGCUUCGGCCUGGGGCACUCUUCUGCGGGCAGGCCAGCAUCAGUUUGGGCGGUUGGAUAAAGGCCUCUGUCACGUAUCUCUCUUCGGGGAGACCUUAUAGGGGAGGCGUAAUGCAACCAGCCCGGACUGAGGUCCGCGCAUCUGCUAGGAUGCUGGCGUAAUGGCUGUAAGCGGCCCGUCUUGAAACACGGACCAAGGAGUCUAACAUCUAUGCGAGUGUUUGGGUGUCAAGCCCGGGCGCGUAAUGAAAGUGAACGGAGGUGGGAACCGCAAGGUGCACCAUCGACCGAUCCUGAUGUCUUCGGAUGGAUUUGAGUAAGAGCAUAGCUGUUGGGACCCGAAAGAUGGUGAACUAUGCUUGAAUAGGGUGAAGCCAGAGGAAACUCUGGUGGAGGCUCGCAGCGGUUCUGACGUGCAAAUCGAUCGUCAA
rnacentral:sRNA from 1 species